CCAACUUCGGUUGGACGGUUAGUGGCGCACGGGUGCGUAACGCGUGGGAAUCUGCCCUUUGCUUCGGAAUAACAGUUAGAAAUGACUGCUAAUACCGGAUGAUGUCUUCGGACCAAAGAUUUAUCGGCAAAGGAUGAGCCCGCGUAAGAUUAGCUAGUUGGUGAGGUAAUGGCUCACCAAGGCGACGAUCUUUAGCUGGUCUGAGAGGAUGAUCAGCCACACUGGGACUGAGACACGGCCCAGACUCCUACGGGA
rnacentral:rRNA from 1 species